CCACCCGCCGUCCGCCUGUCGUCCGCCGGCCCCGACUCCUUUCCCCUUGCCACGGCCGCCGCAUCGUCCCCACCUCCCGUGGCCUCCAAUUCAGCUUGCGUGCUGCCGGGGACGCCGCGGCCAGCCACCUCCCUCUCUUCUCCGCUCCCCCACCUCUGCCCUGCUAUCCCCUGUACUUCAACGUGGGUAGCGCUUGAGCCAUGUCCAAUGCAGCAGUUUGCAGUCCAUGCGUUGGACCAUGCCCGUGUGCUGCUCCCCCUCCCCGGAGUGCAAUGAUGGAGGUCACUUCGGAGAGCAGUUUCCACGGCUGCAGGUCAACGCGAUGUCGGCGCAAGCAGCAGCUCCAUCUAUGGCCUCCAGCGGCUGCGCCAUCCCUCCAAGGCUGCAAUGCCCUUUGAAAGCGACCAGCGUGGCCUCCCCUGCCUCCAAGGUGUUCGACAAAAUGUCCAGCCCCUUUACUCCUAUUCUAUGCUACCAACGUUAAAUCUCAGAACUAAAAGCAAUCAUAAUGACGGCCAUGUGCUUUCUAAAGAUCGCAGAGACUAAAGUUUUUCUUUACAGAUGAAGGCGGCUCUGCUUGAUUGCUGCCACUCAUGACCUCGUACUGUUGUCGAGCCAACCUUGAAGGAAGGGUCCGUUAAUCCUGCUGUAUAUGACAUAGGGAGAAUUUGAUAGUGCCUCGUAAUACUUUUGUUAAAUCUGACGAAAAUGAUGUGCUCUCAGAGGAGACACUAAUCCAAGAAGAUCAAUUGCGCUUCAAUAAAUAGGUGUGUAGUGACAAAAUAUAAGCUCUCUAAGCAAAGAUAGCCAGGUUGAGCUUUCGGAAGAUCAGAUUGCGGACAAAGCAACUGCUCAACCCAACUUACACAAAGGACCCUAGAAAAGAUUAAAGAUAAAACUACAACCAGGUCCUCUGAGCCUGCCAAAUACAUCUCCAGGUGCUGAGAACCGUCGCCGCCGCGCAGACGAACGCCGGAACCAGCCAUCAGGGGACAUACACCGAGAUCAGGCAAAGCACCAUAGCCUGCAGGCGUUGGAAGGAGCCGCAGCAGAACCCCAUCAUCGACGAGGUGAAUGUAACUUCGAAAAAACAUCGGCCGGGGAUACACCCCGUGCUCGCCUCACCCUGGAGCUUCUCACACCGCCAGGAGACGGCAAAGGAGGAGAGAAGCUCCACUCGCCUGCAGACCAUAAAUCAUGCAGUCGCCCAUCCGAAGACCUUGCAGCUCGUCGCCGUCACCCCCGCAAGAAGCUAACGAAGUGCCGAGCGACUGACUCCUGUACAGAACCUCAUAAACCCAUCGCCGGCGGUGGAGAAGACGCCGACGAGGCAGGGGAAGGGUCGGAGUACCUUAUUCCCAAGGAGCGACGGUGCCCCCGCCUCACUGCCGCCGUCAUGGAAACCAAACCGUCUGCAGCGUGGAUGUCGCCACCGUCACCGCCGUCACCACCAACGCCCCAUCCGCCGCGCAGGACCAAAAGAACCGGCAGCCACCAAAUCGGCACUCUAGCCGCCACUCUGUUCGCCUCUCUCAACUGUAGCAAGGGAAAGAAGACCCUCAGCUUGCCAGUGACUUUGUGUGGUGUGAGGUCCACGAGGGUUCUAAUUUCAUGAAGACAUGGGGAGAGGUGAAAAUGCAGCGAUAAGCUCUGAUAGUCAUUAUUAGCCAAUGUGCAAAUAUGACCCCACUGCCUAGGUUUAUUAUGUUCCAUGGCAGGUUUAUAGUGU